GAUGAACGCUGGCGGCGGGCCUAAUACAUGCGAGUCGAGCGAAAAGACGAGAGUGCUUGCACUUUCUGAGGUGAGCGGCGGACGGGUGAGUAAUACGUGGGUAACUGACCUAUAAGACUGGGUUAACUCCGGGAAACGGGAGCUAAAACCGAUUAAUACGCAGCUUCGCAUGGAGCAAUAGUGGAGGACCGUGCUACUGUCACUGACAGAUUGACCCUCGGUGUAUUAGCUAGUUGGUGAGGUAACGGCUCACCAAGGCUACGAUCCAUAGCCGAUCUGAGAGGGUGAUCGGCCACACUGGAACUGAGACACGGCCCAGACUCCUACGGGAGGCAGCAGUAGGGAAUCUUCCGCAAUGGACGAAAAUCUGACGGAGCAAUGCCGCGUGAGUGAAGAAGGUUUUCGGAUCGUAAAACUCUGUUGUAAGGGAAGAACAAGUACGUUAGUAACUGAACGUACCUUGACGGUACCCUACCAAAAAGCCCCGGCUAACUACGUG
rnacentral:rRNA from 1 species